rnacentral:rRNA from 1 species
AUUGAACGCUGGCGGCAGGCCUAACACAUGCAAGUCGAGCGGAUGAUGGGAGCUUGCUCCUUGACUCAGCGGCGGACGGGUGAGUAAUGCCUAGGAAUCUGCCUGGUAGUGGGGGACAACGCUUCGAAAGGAACGCUAAUACCGCAUACGUCCUACGGGAGAAAGCAGGGGACCUUCGGGCCUUGCGCUAUCAGAUGAGCCUAGGUCGGAUUAGCUUGUUGGUGAGGUAAUGGCUCACCAAGGCGACGAUCCGUAACUGGUCUGAGAGGAUGAUCAGUCACACUGGAACUGAGACACGGUCCAGACUCCUACGGGAGGCAGCAGUGGGGAAUAUUGGACAAUGGGCGAAAGCCUGAUCCGGCCAUGCCGCGUGUGUGAAGAAGGUCUUCGGAUUGUAAAGCACUUUAAGUUGGGAGGAAGGGUUGUAGAUUAAUACUCUGCAAUUUUGACGUUACCGACAGAAUAAGCACCGGCUAACUCUGUGCCAGCCGCCGCGGUAAAAC